AAGUCGUAACAAGGUUUCCGUAGGUGAACCUGCGGAAGGAUCAUUAGUGAACUGAAUAUGAGAGAGUGGGGUAAAACCUGCUCUUUUGUUUCUUGUGAACUGGUUGUUGGUCUGUUAUUUUUGAGUUGGGGGGGGGGGAGAGUAAGGAGAAGAGUAGUUUACUAGCUUUGGGUUACUGUUUGUUCUAGCUGGUGCUGUUCUUGUCCAGACAUCUUUUUUCCUGGCUUGAGAAUAAUGGGCUAGCAAUUUUUACUGUUUGUCAUUUUUUUUUACUGUUGUUAAAUAAGACAACUUUCAGCAAUGGAUCUCUUGGCUCUU
rnacentral:misc_RNA from 1 species